UACGGAGGGGGCUAGCGUUGUUCGGAAUUACUGGGCGUAAAGCGUACGUAGGCGGCUUUGUAAGUUAGAGGUGAAAGCCCGGGGCUCAACUCCGGAAUUGCCUUUAAGACUGCAUCGCUAGAAUUGUGGAGAGGUAAGUAGAAUUCCGAGUGUAGAAGUGAAAUUCGUAGAUAUUCGGAAGAACACCAGUGGCGAAGGCGACUUACUGGACACAUAUUGACGCUGAGGUGCGAAAGCGUGGGGAGCAAACAGG
rnacentral:rRNA from 1 species